CACAAAUUGAAAAUGUAGUUAGGUCUAUGAUAGUUGCAUCUGUACUGCACAUGUACAGACUUUUUUUUCUGGUCAUUAUUCCCUAAACGAUGAGUAUAAUGACUAUUUACAUAGCAUUUACAUUGCUUCAUUUCAGUGAAGUGGUAGGGGUGUAAGUGUGACUGGAGUGGAUUCAAGAAACAAUAAGAGAAGAGACAAUAGCAACAAUCUCCCUCUUCUCCCACCCUCAUGGAAGCUUUGCUUCUUUUCAUCUUAUAGUCAAAUAUUGAUCCACUCGACCUGUCCUCGAGGUUUUGAUUAACACAGAAGAUUGCCACGCCGAAGGUGCAGCUCUUCUUAUGGAGAUAGCAGAGACACAAGAGACCAAGCUCAACUACACAAGCAUAUUUCAUGUCUCUGCUUACGUCACAUCUGUCAUUAUCCCAUUGGCCAAGGUAAGUCACAUGGUUGAGUUCAAAGUCAAGGGACUGGAACAUCUUAUCCUCUGGGGUUGAGAGAAGGAAGAGGAUGUUUUUGAAUAAUAACCAAAUCUACCAUAUCAAUCAAAGUAUCUCUUAAUUCUGUGCUGGAGGUCUUUUGUCUGUUACCUUUGUGGCAAAUAUUUCCACUAAAUCUCCCCAAUAAACUUCUGGAAAUCCUAAAAGGCUCUCUUUGGGGAUAUUGUAUCAUAUCCUUCAUUUAAUGGAGGAGAUAAAUGGUAUUAUUUGACUUGCAGAGAAAUGGGUCCAGGGAUAGAAUAUGCAGGCAAUUUUUGUCACAUUGAUGGAUCAGGAAUCCCACAAAUUACCCAGUGGAUCCUCCAACCAACCAAAAGUUAUAAAGAAUUCAGGGGUUCUAGGAAGGUAAGGGGAGGCAUUUUUAUCUAUUGGAAACUGUCAACAGGGAGUUUUGUUUCCUUGUUUUAUGCAUUCAUUCAUUCACUAAAUAUUUUUAUUGAGCAUCAACUGUGGGUCAGGCAUUGUGCUGAGGGCACAUGGUGAAUAAAACAGCUGAGAUACAACUGUGCAGUGCCAUAAAAGAGAGGAACAUAGUGCUGCAAUUGAGAGCACUGGUAUGGGAGGGGAGAGGAUAACUUAUAGUGAUUAGAGGAGGUCUCACUGAAGAGGUAGCAUUUAGGCUGAGAUCUGAAGGGUGAGAAGGAUCUAGCCACAUGAAGAAUUAGAGAAAUUACAUAACCAUGAGGCAUAUCAGAGUUUAUUACCUAUAACAUUGAUGAGAAAUGUUAAAGAACCAAAAGGCAUUAUAUGAUGGAUUUCAUUGUAACUGCUUUAGAGAAAAAUGUCAUGAGAAAGAAAUCUGUGGCAAAUAAAAAGGGAAGUAAAGGGGAUAGAAUAGAAAUGCACUAACACUUUGUCCUGUUGUUACCCUCAAUAUCAUACACUUCACUGAUUAUACCCUCCAAAGUGUAUUGCACCCAGCAACAAAAAUUGACAUACAAUCGAAGCUCUGCUACAAAGGAGCUAGCAACUUUGG
rnacentral:lncRNA from 10 species